rnacentral:rRNA from 1 species
AUGAACGCUGGCGGCGUGCCUAAUACAUGCAAGUCGAGCGAACAGACGAGGAGCUUGCUCCUCUGACGUUAGCGGCGGACGGGUGAGUAACACGUGGAUAACCUACCUAUAAGACUGGGAUAACUUCGGGAAACCGGAGCUAAUACCGGAUAAUAUAUUGAACCGCAUGGUUCAAUAGUGAAAGACGGUUUUGCUGUCACUUAUAGAUGGAUCCGCGCCGCAUUAGCUGGUUGGUAAGGUAACGGCUUACCAAGGCAACGAUGCGUAGCCGACCUGAGAGGGUGAUCGGACACACUGGAACUGAGACACGGUCCAGACUCCUACGGGAGGCAGCAGUAGGGAAUCUUCCGCAAUGGGCGAAAGCCUGACGGAGCAACGCCGCGUGAGUGAUGAAGGUCUUCGGAUCGUAAAACUCUGUUAUUAGGGAAGAACAAAUGUGUAAGUAACUAUGCACGUCUUGACGGUACCUAAUCAGAAAGCCACGGCUAACUACGUG